UAUUGCUCUUGAACGAGGAAUCCCUAGUAAGUACAAGUCACUAGCUUGUGCUGAUUACGUCCUUGCCCUUUGUACACACCGCCCGUCGCUACUACCGAUUGAAUGGCUUAGUGAGGCCCUCGGAUUGAGGCUCGGAGACUGGAGACAGACUCUUGGUUUUGAAAAGUUGGUCAAACUUGGUCAUUUAGAGGAAGUAAAAGUCGUAACAAGGUUUCCGUAGGUGAACCUGCGGAAGGAUCAUUACCGAUUUUUAGCGGAUCUGAUCUUUGGUCAUGGUCUCGCGAAAAACUUGUAUUUAAAACCCCACUCUUAUAAAUUAAAUCAUAUCAUUUAUACAAUGUAUAUAAUAAAUAAAGAUCACUUUCAACAACGGAUCUCUUGGCUCUCGCAUCGAUGAAGAACGUAGCGAAGUGCGAUAAGUAAUGUGAAUUGCAAAAUUCCGUGAAUCAUCGAAUCUUUGAACGCAAAUUGCACUCUCUGGCAACCCGGGGAGUAUGCCUGUUUGAGGGUCAGUGUUAAUAAAAAUCGGUGCGUUGCAAUUUUUUGUGACGUUCUGGAGUUUGAGUUAUCUUAACUUGGUUAUAAGAGGCUUAAAAUUGACCUUUUUUUGUGCAUUUUAGACGUACAUAAAUUUUUUUUUAUUCGUCCAUCCUAAUGCCAAAAUCUAUUAGAUGCGACCAUAUUUUGUGGUUCCGUGUCUAUAAAUUUUUCAUGAUUUGACCUCAAAUCAGGUAGGAACACCCGCUGAACUUAAGCAUAUCAAUAAGCGGAGGAAAAGAAAAUAACAAUGAUUCCCCUAGUAACUGCGAGUGAAGAGGGACAAGCUCAAAUUUUAAAUCUGUCAGGUUCUACCUGACUGAGUUGUAAUUUGAAGAUGGCGUUUUCUGUGUUUCUGAUCGGUCCAAGUCCUUUGGGAUAAGGCAUCAUGGAGGGUGAGAAUCCCGUUCGGUUGAUCAGAUUCGCUUUAUGAUACGUUAUCAAAGAGUCAAGUUGUUUGGGAUUGCAGCUUAAAAUGGGAGGUAAAUUUCUCCUAAGGCUAAAUAACGGCGAGAGACCGAUAGCGAACAAGUACCGUGAGGGAAAGAUGAAAAGAACUUUGAAAAGAGAGUUAAACAGUACGUGAAAUUGUUGAAAGGGAAACGAUUGAAGCCAGUCGUACCUAUGGGUAAUCAGCCUUUUGGGUGUGAUUUUGUGGAGCGUGAAGAGUUAAACGCCUUCAUGCCUGCAUAUUCGCGCACUUUGGGUGUACUUGCCCGUGUGUAAGUUAACAUCAAUUUUGGUGGUCAUAAAAUGGCUGGAGGAAUGUAGCUUCGAUCUUGUAUUGAAGUGUUAUAGCCUUCGGUAGAUGUGACGAUCGGGAUUGAGGAUUGCAACGGAUACCCUUCGGGGCUACCUAUCUGAUCUCUGACCGUUGUUCUGGUGCCGAAAGCUUGCUUACGGUUAUCAAAGUCGAUGGUCAAUAGGUUAGAAUGGGUUAAAUUCGUUAAGGAUGUUGACGUAAUGGCUUUAAACGACCCGUCUUGAAACACGGACCAAGGAGUCUAACAUAUGUGCGAGUGUUU
rnacentral:rRNA from 1 species